CAGUAACGACUUCGACGAAUUUUGCUUCAGCAUGGUCACAAAAUCCCGUAUAAAGGGUUUAUCCAAGGAGAUGGGGGACUUCGAAAGUGCCUCGGGAAUACUGUGAAUUCGUCUAAGAGUGUAUGUGGUCGGUAGUGAUUCGAUGCACAGUGCUAGAAGGUACUUACCGAAUACACAGAAAUUCACCUCGUCUAAGGAUUUCCCCAGGAUAACACUAAUAGUCCAAGGAAAAAUUUUCGACUAAUUAUUUUUUCGUAAUAACGAUGAUAUCGGAAUGGUCAUUGACCGAAUAAUAUCCUUUCAAUGGGGUAUUUUGGAACUUCCAGGGACAUUUUUAUCCCUACCCUAUGGGUUAUGGGUAGGGAUGAGCCUUAAUGUGCAACGACGCAUGCUUGAAAAGUCUCCAAGGAUUUUGCGUUUAGGACAUAUCCCCCACCACAUCCAGCUGCAAUUGUAUAUUCCUUGGGUGGGAUCCAGCAACAGCUACGUCGAGUGAGAUAGUGAUGUAUAGACUCUUGACUUCGAGACGAGUAGCAUAAUUUCUGCCGAUAGUCACUUGAUGUUUCGCAUCGUACCCAUGGACAAUUGUCGUCACGCGGAUGGAAAAUCUACCCCAGAGUACAUUACAUUUUGCCAAAUGGUGCGCGAUGGGAUGUUUCUUUUCAUCGUCAAGCACAUAUCCUUGGGUCGGACCAAGUGGAAUCCAACUUUAUGCAAUAUCACUUUACACCCAAGCAACUUGACAUUCCAGAUAAUGAUGAAGCCAUCAACAGGCUACAACUAUAAUUCCGUGCAAACAUAAUAACGAAAAUGCACGCUAAUGGAAUAAUAUUUGUUUAGGACAAACACACUUCUCUUCCCUUAGUACCUUCUAUGCUCUCUCUCGCAGAAAAUGUACAUAUGUAUGGAUUCUAUUUCUUAUGCCAUUCUCAGCAGGGUAUGCUCGACCAACAGACACUUGAAAUUUGAGUGUAUGCCACUUAAAAUAAUUAAUUUAUUUUCUUUCACAUUGAACAAAAUCUUCAAUCUUUACAUCAACCAGCAUCUUACCCCCUUUUUCUUAUAAUAAGGAAUCGCGUUUUCCUCAAAUGGCAUCUAAAAAGAGAAUGAGGAAAAACGGAAAGGGGCUGCAAAAAAGCCUGGAGGAGCCACUCUGCAGAAGAUAAUAUAGGGGUAAUCGAUUAUAUCACCUCACUCUCGUGGUCUUCACAAUUGCCACUUUCUCGCCAAACCCAUUCAUUGGCCCACCCAUCUCACUUACAUAUCCCACCCACAUUAAAAGCAGAAAUGUGUAGAGACACUUCAAUAUAGCAAUGGCCCCAAUCCCUAUCCUAUAUCAUCCCUUCACAUCCCACUUCUGAAAAUAGUGCACCAAGUGCACAAAGAGACUUAAAUAUCCAUCCAAAAACCCACCACCUUCUGGUAACAUAAAAGUGGCAAUUAAUUCCUACAUUUGAGUCCCAGGUGAACACCAUUCUGGGAGCGAAGCACAAUUUCCGCAAUUAUUCGUGGCUCAGGUCCACAGGGUAGCAA